rnacentral:rRNA from 1 species
AUUGAACGCUGGCGGCAGGCCUAACACAUGCAAGUCGAGCGGAUGAGGGGAGCUUGCUCCCUGAUUUAGCGGCGGACGGGUGAGUAAUGCGUAGGAAGCUGCCCGAUAGAGGGGGAUACCAGUUGGAAACGACUGUUAAUACCGCAUAAUGUCUACGGACCAAAGUGUGGGACCUUCGGGUCACAUGCUAUCGGAUGCGCCUACGUGGGAUUAGCUAGUUGGUGAGGUAAUGGCUCACCAAGGCGACGAUCUCUAGCUGGUUUGAGAGGAUGAUCAGCCACACUGGAACUGAGACACGGUCCAGACUCCUACGGGAGGCAGCAGUGGGAAUAUUGGACAAUGGGCGCAAGCCUGAUCCAGCCAUGCCGCGUGUGUGAAGAAGGCCUUCGGGUUGUAAAGCACUUUCAGCGAGGAGGAAGGGUGGUGUGUUAAUAGCACAUCAUUUUGACGUUACUCGCAGAAGAAGCACCGGCUAACUCUGUGCCAGCCGCCGCAGUAAGAC